GACAUUAGACGAAUCAUCUGGAAAGAUGAAUCAAAGAAGGUAAUAAUCCUGUAGUCGAAAAUGUUGUCUCUCUUGAGUGGAUCCUGAGUACGACGGAGCACGUGAAAUUCCGUCGGAAUCUGGGAGGACCAUCUCCUAAGGCUAAAUACUCUCUAGUGACCGAUAGUGAACCAGUACCGUGAGGGAAAGGUGAAAAGCACCCCGGAAGGGGAGUGAAAUAGAACCUGAAACCGUGUGCUUACAAGUAGUCAGAGCCCGUUAAUGGGUGAUGGCGUGCCUUUUGUAGAAUGAACCGGCGAGUUACGAUUUGAUGCAAGGUUAAGCAGUAAAUGUGGAGCCGUAGCGAAAGCGAGUCUGAAUAGGGCGUUUAGUAUUUGGUCGUAGACCCGAAACCAGGUGAUCUACCCUUGGUCAGGUUGAAGUUCAGGUAACACUGAAUGGAGGACCGAACCGACUUACGUUGAAAAGUGAGCGGAUGAACUGAGGGUAGCGGAGAAAUUCCAAUCGAACCUGGAGAUAGCUGGUUC
rnacentral:rRNA from 1 species